rnacentral:rRNA from 1 species
AUUGAACGCUGGCGGCAGGCCUAACACAUGCAAGUCGAGCGGAUGAAGGGAGCUUGCUCCUGGAUUCAGCGGCGGACGGGUGAGUAAUGCCUAGGAAUCUGCCUGGUAGUGGGGGAUAACGUCCGGAAACGGGCGCUAAUACCGCAUACGUCCUGAGGGAGAAAGUGGGGGAUCUUCGGACCUCACGCUAUCAGAUGAGCCUAGGUCGGAUUAGCUAGUUGGUGGGGUAAAGGCCUACCAAGGCGACGCUCCGUAACUGGUCUGAGAGGAUGAUCAGUCACAUUGGAACUGAGACACGGUCCAGACUCCUACGGGAGGCAGCAGUGGGGAAUAUUGGACAAUGGGCGAAAGCCUGAUCCAGCCAUGCCGCGUGUGUGAAGAAGGUCUUCGGAUGGUAAAGCACGUUAAGUGGGGAGAAAGGGCAGUAAGUUAAUACCUUGCUGUUUUGACGGUACCAACAGAAUAAGCACCGGCUAACUUCGUG